UCGAGAAUAUUCCACAAUGGGCGAAAGCCUGAUGGAGCGACGCCGCGUGCUUGAAGAAGCCCUUCGGGGUGUAAAGAGCUUUUAAUCGGGAGGAACCUUCGGGUGACUGUACCGAUUGAAUAAGAGGGUGCAAAUCACGUGCCAGCAGCAGCGGUAAUACGUGACCCUCAAGCGUUAUCCGGAUUUAUUGGGCGUAAAGAGUCUGUAGGCGCUUUGUCGCAUCUUUUGUUAAAUCUCAGGGCUUAACCUUGAAAUCACGAAAGAGAUGGAUAAGGUGGAGGACGUUAGGGGUUGGUAGAACGGUCAGUGUAGGGGUGAAAUCCGUUGAUAUUGACCGGAAUCCUAAAAGCGAAGGCAUCCAACUGGAGCGUUCCUGACGCUGAGAGACGAAAGCGUGGGU
rnacentral:rRNA from 1 species